rnacentral:rRNA from 1 species
GGGCUAGGGGGCAUAGCGCUUACCGAACCUUAUCAAACUCCGAAUGCCACAUACUUUGAGCUCGGCAGUCAGACUACGAAUGAUAAGAUCCGUGGUCAAAAGGGAAACAGCCCAGAUCGUCAGCUAAGGUCCCAAAGUGUAAGUUAAGUGGGAAAGGAUGUGAGAUUUCUAAGACAACUAGGAUGUUGGCUUAGAAGCAGCCAUUCAUUAAAAGAGUGCGUAAUAGCUCACUAGUCGAGAGAUCUUGCGCCGAAAAUGUAACGGGGCUAAACUUACCACCGAAGCUACGGGCUUGAACUUAUGUUCAAGCGGUAGGAGAGCGUCGUAACCGGGCUGAAGUCGUACCGUAAGGAGCGGUGGACUGGUUACGAGUGAGAAUGUUGGCAUCAGUAGCGAGAUGUGGGUGAGAAUCCCACAGGCCGAAAACCUAAGGUUUCCUCAGGAAGGUUCGUCCGCUGAGGGUUAGUCGGGACCUAAGCCGAGGCCGAAAGGCGUAGGUGAUGGACAACUGGUUGAUAUUCCAGUACCACUACCAUCGUUAUUAUCGAUGGCGUGACGCAGGAGGAUAGUGUGUGCUAGCUAUUGGAUGCUAGUCUAAGCG